GGAUGUGAGGGUGGGCUGGUUGUGACAUCUGUCACUCCAUUGGUCACCCAGGCUGGCUUGGCUGAUCUGGCUGGCUAGGCAGAUGUCCCCUUCCUCCCUCAUUGCAUGCUGGGUGGAAGAGAAUGGUCUUCUCUGAUGGAGGAGGAUCUUUCUUCUGCUAACAGAAUACCACCAGCUGUGUCCCCUACCAGAACCUCCAGAUAAGCUCUUAGGAGAGCUCAGUGGGGCCUCUCUACAGUUUGCUCACUGCAAGAGGCUCCCAGUAUUGUUAGAAAGGAUGCCUCAAAGA
ensembl:misc_RNA 7SK 7SK RNA